rnacentral:rRNA from 1 species
GACGAACGCUGGCGGCGUGCUUAACACAUGCAAGUCGAACGGAAAGGCCUGCUUUCCCUUGUGGAUUGCGGGUACUCGAGUGGCGAACGGGUGAGUAACACGUGUGUGAUCUGCCCCCAACUUGGGUAUAAGCCUGGGAAACUGGGUCUAAUUCCCGAUAGGACUGCAGGGUGGUGCCUGUGGUGGAAAACGAUUUUCUAGUGGUUGGGGAUGAGCUCGCGGCCUAUCAGCUUGUUGGUGGGGUAAUGGCCUACCAAGGCGGCGACGGGUAGCCGGCCUGAGAGGGUGGACGGCCACAUUGGGACUGAGAUACGGCCCAGACUCCUACGGGAGGCAGCAGUGGGGAAUAUUGCACAAUGGGCGGAAGCCUGAUGCAGCGACGCCGCGUGGGGGAUGACGGCCUUCGGGUUGUAAACUCCUUUCGACCGCGAGGAAGCCACCUGGUUGGAAGGGUGGUGACGGUAGUGGUAGAAGAAGCACCGGCUAACUACGUG